GGGUGGGACAUGAAGGAUACAAAAAAAACAACAACAGCAAUAGAAUAAUAUUAAACACAAAGUGAACCCGUCUUCCUUCAUUAAAUAGGUUCUUUUAGAUGUUAAGGAGGAAUUGACUUAACCAGGCUGGCGGAGAAUGAAGACAACCGGACACCUGCUGCAGAUGGGGAAUCAGUGAACUUUUAUUGAGACAGAGACAAACUCUCAACGCAGCUCACAUCAAGAGAUUCCAAAUAUUUGCUAUGAGGAGAAAAGAGUCCAGGCACCACCCUGCCCAGGGGUCGGCUGCAAGCAGUCUCGGUUCCCGAUGAAAGCAGUACCAGCUGUCCUGCACACAAGGCUUUUGUCCAAACUCCGUUCACUCAGACCACGGCCGAUGUCCUCCCUCCCGUUCCAGUUUGACCUGGAGCGGAUCCUGUUCGUGACGCCAAUUGAAGGAUACAAAAAAAACAACAACAGCAAUAGAAUAAUAUUAAACACAAAGUGAACCCGUCUUCCUUCAUUAAAUAGGUUCUUUUAGAUGUUAAGGAGGAAUUGACUUAACCAGGCUGGCGGAGAAUGAAGACAACCGGACACCUGCUGCAGAUGGGGAAUCAGUGAACUUUUAUUGAGACAGAGACAAACUCUCAACGCAGCUCACAUCAAGAGAUUCCAAAUAUUUGCUGUGAGGAUGGGUAUAUAUUCUCUAAAACUUACAGGAGGGGGUUGUGAGGAAAGUGCUGCAUUAGCAGAAAAACAACUCCAUAAAAGGAAAUCGGCCUUGGGUGUUCUAGUCUCUUCGCUUGCAGAUAUCUUUCACCUGCAGGAUGAGGCGAUCGCUUCUUAUCGCUCUCAAGGCCAAAGUCGUGAGCACAUUUUUAUUACACAGUUGCACAGUAACUUUAAAGCUGAACAAUAUUUAAAGCUGAAUAAUGUUUAAAGCUGAACAAUAUUUAAAGCUGAAUAAUGUUUAAAGCUGAACAAUAUUUAAAGCUGAAUAAUGUUUAAAGCUGAACAAUAUUUAAAGCUGAAUAAUGUUUAAAGCUGAACAAUAUUUUCUUCAGA
ensembl:lncRNA